GGGUUGUGAGGUUAAGCGACUAAGCGUACACGGUGGAUGCCCUGGCAGUCAGAGGCGAUGAAGGACGUGCUAAUCUGCGAAAAGCGUCGGUAAGGUGAUAUGAACCGUUAUAGCCGGCGAUGUCCGAAUGGGGAAACCCAGUGCAAUUCGUUGCACUAUCGUUAACUGAAUACAUAGGUUAACGAGGCGAACCGGGGGAACUGAAACAUCUAAGUACCCCGAGGAAAAGAAAUCAACCGAGAUUCCCCCAGUAGCGGCGAGCGAACGGGGAGCAGCCCAGAGUCUGAAUCAGCUUGUGUGUUAGUGGAACGGUCUGGAAAGUCCGACGGUACAGGGUGAUAGUCCCGUACACCAAAAUGCACAGGCUGUGAACUCGAAGAGUAGGGCGGGACACGUGGUAUCCUGUCUGAAUAUGGGGGGACCAUCCUCCAAGGCUAAAUACUCCUGACUGACCGAUAGUGAACCAGUACCGUGAGGGAAAGGCGAAAAGAACCCCGGCGAGGGGAGUGAAAAAGAACCUGAAACCGUGUACGUACAAGCAGUGGGAGCACCUUCGGGUGUGACUGCGUACCUUUUGUAUAAUGGGUCAGCGACUUAUAUUCUGUAGCAAGGUUAACCGUAUAGGGGAGCCGCAGGGAAACCGAGUCUUAACUGGGCGUUAAGUUGCAGGGUAUAGACCCGAAACCCGGUGAUCUAGCCAUGGGCAGGUUGAAGGUUGGGUAACACUAACUGGAGGACCGAACCGACUAAUGUUGAAAAAUUAGCGGAUGACUUGUGGCUGGGGGUGAAAGGCCAAUCAAACCGGGAGAUAGCUGGUUCUCCCCGAAAGCUAUUUAGGUAGCGCCUCGUGAACUCAUCUUCGGGGUAGAGCACUGUUUCGGCUAGGGGGUCAUCCCGACUUACCAACCCGAUGCAAACUACGAAUACCGAAGAAUGUUAUCACGGGAGACACACGGCGGGUGCUAACGUCCGUCGUGAAGAGGGAAACAACCCAGACCGCCAGCUAAGGUCCCAAAGUCAUGGUUAAGUGGGAAACGAUGUGGGAAGGCACAGACAGCCAGGAUGUUGGCUUAGAAGCAGCCAUCAUUUAAAGAAAGCGUAAUAGCUCACUGGUCGAGUCGGCCUGCGCGGAAGAUGUAACGGGGCUAAACCAUGCACCGAAGCUGCGGCAGCGACACUAUGUGUUGUUGGGUAGGGGAGCGUUCUGUAAGCCUGCGAAGGUGUGCUGUGAGGCAUGCUGGAGGUAUCAGAAGUGCGAAUGCUGACAUAAGUAACGAUAAAGCGGGUGAAAAGCCCGCUCGCCGGAAGACCAAGGGUUCCUGUCCAACGUUAAUCGGGGCAGGGUGAGUCGACCCCUAAGGCGAGGCCGAAAGGCGUAGUCGAUGGGAAACAGGUUAAUAUUCCUGUACUUGGUGUUACUGCGAAGGGGGGACGGAGAAGGCUAUGUUAGCCGGGCGACGGUUGUCCCGGUUUAAGCAUGUAGGCUGAUUGUCCAGGCAAAUCCGGAUAAUCAAGGCUGAGGUGUGAUGACGAGGCACUACGGUGCUGAAGUAACAAAUGCCCUGCUUCCAGGAAAAGCCUCUAAGCAUCAGGUAACAUUAAAUCGUACCCCAAACCGACACAGGUGGUCAGGUAGAGAAUACCAAGGCGCUUGAGAGAACUCGGGUGAAGGAACUAGGCAAAAUGGUGCCGUAACUUCGGGAGAAGGCACGCUGGUGUGUAGGUGAAGUCCCUGCGGAUGGAGCUGAGACCAGUCGAAGAUACCAGCUGGCUGCAACUGUUUAUUAAAAACACAGCACUGUGCAAACACGAAAGUGGACGUAUACGGUGUGACGCCUGCCCGGUGCCGGAAGGUUAAUUGAUGGGGUUAUCCGUAAGGAGAAGCUCUUGAUCGAAGCCCCGGUAAACGGCGGCCGUAACUAUAACGGUCCUAAGGUAGCGAAAUUCCUUGUCGGGUAAGUUCCGACCUGCACGAAUGGCGUAAUGAUGGCCAGGCUGUCUCCACCCGAGACUCAGUGAAAUUGAACUCGCUGUGAAGAUGCAGUGUACCCGCGGCAAGACGGAAAGACCCCGUGAACCUUUACUAUAGCUUGACACUGAACAUUGAGCCUUGAUGUGUAGGAUAGGUGGGAGGCUUUGAAGCGUGGACGCCAGUCUGCGUGGAGCCAACCUUGAAAUACCACCCUUUAAUGUUUGAUGUUCUAACGUUGGCCCCUUACCGGGGUUGCGGACAGUGUCUGGUGGGUAGUUUGACUGGGGCGGUCUCCUCCCAAAGCGUAACGGAGGAGCACGAAGGUUAGCUAAUCCUGGUCGGACAUCAGGAGGUUAGUGCAAUGGCAUAAGCUAGCUUGACUGCGAGCGUGACGGCGCGAGCAGGUGCGAAAGCAGGUCAUAGUGAUCCGGUGGUUCUGAAUGGAAGGGCCAUCGCUCAACGGAUAAAAGGUACUCCGGGGAUAACAGGCUGAUACCGCCCAAGAGUUCAUAUCGACGGCGGUGUUUGGCACCUCGAUGUCGGCUCAUCACAUCCUGGGGCUGAAGUAGGUCCCAAGGGUAUGGCUGUUCGCCAUUUAAAGUGGUACGCGAGCUGGGUUUAGAACGUCGUGAGACAGUUCGGUCCCUAUCUGCCGUGGGCGCUGGAGAAUUGAGGGGGGCUGCUCCUAGUACGAGAGGACCGGAGUGGACGCAUCACUGGUGUUCGGGUUGUCAUGCCAAUGGCACUGCCCGGUAGCUAAAUGCGGAAGAGAUAAGUGCUGAAAGCAUCUAAGCACGAAACUUGCCCCGAGAUGAGUUCUCCCUGAGACUUUAAGUCUCCUGAAGGAACGUUAAAGACGAUGACGUUGAUAGGCCGGGUGUGUAAGCGCAGCGAUGCGUUGAGCUAACCGGUACUAAUGAACCGUGAGGCUUAACCUUACAACGCCGAAG
rnacentral:rRNA from 1 species